AAAACCUGCUCCCAGUUCCCUGUCACUCUCUCUUUUUUUUUUUUUUUUGUAAUUCCCAAUGCUUUUUUCUGCAGCAGGUCCUCUUAGCGGAAAGAGAUGCUGCUUUCCUUCAGGCACCAAAGGUGCCAUCGGAGGCCAGAGAGAGGCUGCAGUCAAAGAAGAUCAAGGAGGAUGACGAUGGAGGUGACCUGUUGCUUGGAGAUGGACCGAGGAUGUCGUCGACACACGAUUGUUCAUCUCUUUGUGGUGCAGAGGAAACCGCAGCUCCACAAGUGGAUUGGGUGCGUGAGGAGAGAUGGCUGGGGUUUUCCUUUCGUUGAUUUGAAAUCUCCACUGAUCUGAAAAAUACCUGCCUCCUUUCCUUAAUUCGGGAACAUCCUGCCUGAAGAUGUGAAUCUUCCUUUAAAAAUUCCUUCUCCGCUCUCUUCCCCCCCCACCCCUCGGGCACGAAAACUUCUGAAAAUGUCCUUUUUAUGUUCUGCGUAGAAAUGGCUGGAGCGUUCCUUAACGGGCGGGUCUUUGCUUCUUUCAGGCAGCCUUUGCUGAUCUGGCCGUCUACUUCACCGAGGAGGAGUGGGCCCUGCUGGAUCCAGGGCAAAGGACUUUGCACACCCAGGUCAUGGAGGAGAAUUACGAAUUGUUGACGUCCCUUCGUAAGGAUUCCUCCUCCACCAUCAAAUCAGGUGAGAAGGGAUGCCCUUCAGUUGUCAGCUCUUCUUCCUGACAUUCAGAUCCCUGAAUCCUGCUCGUUUUAGGGGGGGGGCUUCCCCAGACCCCCUUCACAAGGGUCCCUUGCUUGAUUUAUAGUUAAUUCUGUGCCAUCAAGUUGGAAACCCGCUAAUAGCGACCCUAAUUGGGCUUCCAGAGUAAGUGAGGAAUUUAAGGAGCAAUUUUACAAAUUCCACUCCCCCAAGAGGUCUCCAUGGCUGAGUGAGGAUUCGAUCCCUGGUCUCUAGAGUCCUAGUCCAUCUCUCUGUCCACUACUAAUGUGUAGCCUGCAUAAUUAACUUGUAAACCACCCAGAGAGUGCUUGAAGCUCUGUGGGGCGGUAUAUAAGCAGCACGCUUUGCUUUGCUUUGCUUUACUACACCAUACUGGGUAACCUAGCUUAGCAGCCACUUAUUAUCAUAAUAAAGGGUCAGGGUUUGAAUGUUGGUGGCUGUGU
rnacentral:lncRNA from 1 species